rnacentral:rRNA from 1 species
CCUACGGGAGGCAGCAGUGGGGAAUAUUGCACAAUGGGGGAAACCCUGAUGCAGCGACGCCGCGUGAGUGAAGAAGUAUUUCGGUAUGUAAAGCUCUAUCAGCAGGGAAGAAAUACUGACCUUACGGUCAGCAGACGGUACCUGACUAAGAAGCCCCGGCUAACUACGUGCCAGCAGCCGCGGUAAUACGUAGGGGGCAAGCGUUAUCCGGAUUUACUGGGUGUAAAGGGAGCGUAGACGGCAGCGCAAGUCUGAAGUGAAAUGCCAUGGCUUAACCAUGGAACUGCUUUGGAAACUGUGCAGCUGGAGUGCAGGAGAGGUAAGCGGAAUUCCUAGUGUAGCGGUGAAAUGCGUAGAUAUUAGGAGGAACACCAGUGGCGAAGGCGGCUUACUGGACUGUAACUGACGUUGAGGCUCGAAAGCGUGGGGAGCAAACAGGAUUAGAUACCCCAGUAGUC